CUCUCUGCCCAACUCUCCAGUCUGUCCAGGUCUUGCUGAAUGCUGGCACAGGCUU
rnacentral:miRNA from 7 species